CAGCACAGGUGUCGCAUUCUGAUUGGUGAAGGGGAGUAGAGUGUCGCAGCCUAGAUGACGAGAUUUCAGUAGUUGAAAGCAUCACUACCUUUUGCUAUGAUUCGAGUAGCAUGGGCACGUGGAAUCCUAUGUGAAUCAGCAAGGAUGAAACUGAUCAAAAUUAGAGAUCGUCAUUUUGGUUUAAUUUGGAGUUUAAUUUAGGUUCAGUUUGAUUUAAUGUAUUUGGAUCUGAGAAAACUUUAGUCAAAGUCAACUCAAAUUAGUUUAAUUUAGUUUGUGUUCAGUUUUGAUUUGGUUUUAGUUAGGGUUUGUGUUUGGUUAAGUUUGGUUUAAUUUGGUUUUGUUUGUGUAUGUACAGCUCAGUCAAGUUGUUUUCUUAGUUUUUUCUAGUUCGGUUACAAAAAAAAUAAAAUUUAUAAAAACAUAGAAGAAAUCAUUGUUUGACACUAAAUCACUUUUUCAUAUUUAAACGUAGAAAAUGUAAUCCAAUAAAUUUAUAUUAUUAUUUUCAAACCUAGUAUAAAUAUUAUAGAUAUUAUAGAUAAUUUUGAUUCAUAUUCAUAUUCUUUUAUUUUAUUUUAUGUUUAGUUGUGUUUCUUCUAUUCAUUUAGAAUUAAAAUAUAUAAAAUUAUAUUUAGUUUUUUAGGUUAAAUGGUAAAACAUCUUAAUUUUAAUAUAAUUAGUAUAUUUAGUUAAUCCAGUUAAAUGACUUCGAUUUUUCAGUUCGUUUUAAAACCAAACCAUCUAAAAUGAUUAAAAUUUUAACCAAAUGGUUUAGACAUAUGCUUUGAUCUGGUGUGGAUCUAUUUGAAUUAUGUUAGAUCAGUUUGGUUUUAUUGUUUUUUGUCGACUCUUGCUGAUCAAGAUAUUUGAGAAUCUAAGGAAAAGAAAGCACACAACACCUAACGUAGCCUUUCGGCCCGCCCAUAGAUUUCUUGUAGUGAAAAUAUGUAGGGUUAUAUCAUUUUUUUUCCGUCAAUUCGAAUUCAUUAAAUUGUUGCACAAGGCAAUUACUUCUACAAACAAACAAACAGCCAAUCCCCUACCAGGACUACUACACAUUGAUCCAGCAAAGAUCAGACCGCCUAAACCCCUUCAAGGCAAAAACAACUACACGAUAAACACUUAGAUAAUGUUUAGAGGGAUCGGCUUUCAUUAACAAAGAGCUCAAAAAGCCAAGAAGGGUGACCAUUGGCCACAUAAGAUUGAGUUCUGUUCUGUCUCGUUACGCUUUGAGCAAUGAACGACGCCCCUCUGUUUUCCUCAGUUGCUACUUUCCUCAAUUGAAACUCCUCCAUUCUUGCCAGAAGAAACCUCAUCUCCUCUAACUGAAAUCUGAGGGCUGGCCAUUGAUGUGGUUUUUGGAAUGCGAGAAAUAACUCUUUAAAGUCUCCCGCAAAGACCAUCCUGUCAUAGCGCAUACUCGUCAUACUCUCUAGCGCCCAUAACAACGUCUUUAAUCUCGCAUCAGCCAGAGAGACGACAUAAGAGAAAGCUCGUCUGCUGUGAGUCAAUACCACUCCUCUAUGAUUUCGAAUAACCCAUGCUCCGCCAAGAGUCUGCGUAUCCUUGUUCCACUCAAAGGCAAUGUUACACAUCAACCAACCCUCCUCAGGAGGCAGCCAUCGUUUUAAUCGUCUCGUUUUUUAAACUAAUGAAUAUUUUACAUGUCCUUUUUAAGAUAUCAAAUGAGACAGACUUGCUGUAUAUUUGGGCUGGCCCAAGCACUUUUGUGCAGAAAUGUGUGAUCAACCUUUUUUUUUGUGCAAACCAUAAUUUUAAUUGAAAUUGGGUGAAGUCCAGUUUAGAGGUCCAUCCGAAAGAGGCCCAUUACAAAUUAGAAGACAAACGGAGGGUCUCUUUUGCUAAGCGGUCAGCUUGCAGGUUUUGAGCCCCAGGAAGAAAAUCGAAAGAGAUAGAUUGAAAGAC